UGCGGCUCGCGGUGUCUGCGGCGGGGGUGGAGGAAUCUGGUUGCGGCCGCCGGCGCUGACCGCGAUCCCCGAGCGGCUUCUCUGGGCUUAGAGCCUCGCUGGGCGGUGCCGCGCCCUGUCCGGGGUCGGUUCGCCCCGCGGGACGCUCGGGUGCCUGUGGCUCUAGCGAGCAGGUCUGGGCGGGCCGCGCCGCGCAUGGCGGCCGAGCCCUAGUGGGGAAGCGGGUUGGUCACUGUCUCCCAGGCGUGUCCGGCUGCCACGAGGCCGGGUGUCCCAUCAGGCUCGGUAACAUCGCGCUUCCCCGAGGGCCCUAGAGACCCUCCGGCAGAGCCAGCGGGGCCGGCUUCGUUGAGACUACGCUCCGUCUGCCGCUGUGGUGUGUGACGGAGCAAAGCGGGGCGGGAAGAGCUUCUAACCACCUUCCCGCUGGUCGCUAUCAAGACCUAGCCGAUACCUGUUAGUGAUUCAAAUCACCUGCUCUGAAGAAAUCUGAAUGUGGCUUCAGUGGGAAUUUUAAGGACAUCUUAUGCACCCCUAAUGUUGCAGAUGUUCCUGCUGGGGAAGCCAAUCUCAUCCCAUUAUGAAGACAUGUAAUAUAUGACAAAAAUCAGUAACAUUUAAGCAAAGUUGCAGAGUUUAUACAAGUCCCUCUAAUUUUUUUUGUUCUUGUAAUCUAAAUUGGAUUGCCUAUUAUAAUGGGCACGUAGUUUCUGACUUGAUUUGUAGCAUACUUCCAGUGAAAUACUUACUCUAUAGUUCUUGUACUGUUGACAUUGCUCAUGCUACAUAAUACGUUAGUCAAUACCACACAACUGACCCUUGUGUAACUCAUGUUGGUUUCAUGAGAUACAAAACUAGCUAUACAUAAUCUCUGGAGAAAUAAAAGGACUAUUAGUAAACACUUGUGAAAUAUGCUAAGAUUAACUGUAGUCACUCACUUGCCUAUUUCCUUUUUUAUUGAAAGAAUACAAACGCUUUCUGCAACUCCUCACACAACUGUCACUAGUAGUUAAAGGCUAGCAUCAAUUCUUGUAUUCCAGAGCACAAGUGAGAUUAGGAAACUCCAUUUAAACUUCAUUUUGAUUAACUUCUGGUAUUGGAGUGACAAACUGAAGUGGCUUGAGUGGCAUCUAGAACCCAUCAAUGGAAUUAUUUCUCUUAUCUGUUUUCCAUUAUGUUCCCUGAAAUGUAAAUAAGAAUGACCUAUACUGGCUUUUAUGAGAAAUGUAUAGUGCUAGCACAAUAACAGUAUGAUUUGGCUAAAGCUACUAGGUGUUGCUACGGUAUAAAUGAUAAUUCUAAACUCGAUGCUAAUAAAAAUAGUGAAAAAUGA